rnacentral:rRNA from 1 species
AUGUCCACCACCACCAGGAGCAGCACAGACCGCCUCCACGCGCUCAAGGCGUUCGACGACACCAAGGCUGGCGUCAAAGGCCUCGUCGACGCGGGCCUUUCCGCCGUCCCCGCCAUCUUCCACCACCCGCCCGACAACACACCAACCCAUCACUUGACGAUCCCGAUCAUCGACCUCGCUGGCCUCAUGACGCCGUCCGGGCGGGCCUCGGUGGUCGGGGCGGUGAGGGCGGCCGCCGAGACGCUGGGCUUCUUCCAGGUGUUGAACCACGGCGUGCCGGAGGAGGCCAUGUGCGAGAUGCUGGCGGCGGUGCGGCGCUUCAACGAGGAGCCGGCGGAGGCCAGGGCGCCGUACUACACCCGGGACCAGCGCCGACGCGUCCGGUUCAACUCCAACUUCGACCUGUUCCAGUCGCCGGCAGCCAACUGGCGCGACACCCUGCUGCUGGAGAUGGCGCCGGAGCCGCCGUCGCCCGAGGAGAUCCCGCCGGCGUGCAGGGAUAUCGUGCCGGAGUACGUGAGGCUCGUGCAGCGGCUGAGCCGCACGCUUCUCGGGCUGCUGUCGGAGGCACUGGGCCUCCACCACCACCGCGGCGGAUACCUGGAGCUGGAGCAGGACACCGCGUGCCUGCAAGGGCUCAACAUCGCCGGCCACUACUACCCGGCGUGCCCGGAGCCGCACCUCACGCUGGGCACCACCAGGCACUCGGACCCCAGCUUCCUCACCGUGCUCCUCCAGGACGCCAUCGGCGGCCUCCAGGUGCUCGUGGAAGGCCUCGAUGGCAACAAGUGGGUGGACGUGCCGGCGGUGGCGGGGGCGCUGGUGGUGAACAUCGGCGACCACCUGCAGCUCAUGUCCAACGACAGGUUCAACAGCGUGGAGCACCGCGUGGUGGCCAAGAGCUCCGGGCCGAGGUUGUCGGUGGCCUGCUUCUUCGGGACGCCCGGCGCGGUCGCGUCCAAGAUAGUGCUACGGCCAAUCGUCACCGACGGCGAGGAGGCGCGGUACAGGAGCACGACGGUGGAGGAGCUGCUGCGGGAGUACAGGGCCAAGGGCCUCGACGGUACCUCUGCACUCCACCACUUCAGGCUCUGA